GACGAACGCUGGCGGCGUGCCUAAUACAUGCAAGUUGAGCGCUGAAGGUUGGUACUUGUACCAACUGGAUGAGCAGCGAACGGGUGAGUAACGCGUGGGGAAUCCGCCUUUGAGCGGGGGACAACAUUUGGAAACGAAUGCUAAUACCGCAUAAAAACUUUAAACACAAGUUUUAAGUUUGAAAGAUGCAAUUGCAUCACUCAAAGAUGAUCCCGCGUUGUAUUAGCUAGUUGGUGAGGUAAAGGCUCACCAAGGCGAUGAUACAUAGCCGACCUGAGAAGGUGAUCGGCCACAGUGGGACUGAGACACGGCCCAAACCCCUACGGGAGGCAGCAGGAGGGAAACUUCGGCAAUGGACGAAAGUCUGACCGAGCAACGCCGCGUGAGGGAAGAAGGGUGUCGGAUCGUAAAACUCUGUUGGUAGAGAAGAACGUUGGUGAGAGUGGAAAGCUCAUCAAGUGACGGUAACUACACAGAAAGGGACGGCUAACUACGUG
rnacentral:rRNA from 1 species